rnacentral:rRNA from 1 species
UACAGAGGUCCCGAGCGUUGUUCGGAUUCAUUGGGCGUAAAGGGUGCGCAGGCGGCUUCGCGCGUGUUGGGUGAAAUCUCCCGGCUCAACUGGGAGGGGGCUCAGCAGACGGCGGAGCUUGAGGCUCGGAGGGGGGCGUGGAAUUCCGGGUGGAGCGGUGAAAUGCGUAGAGAUCCGGAGGAACACCAACGGCGAAGGCAGCGCCCUGGACGAGACCUGACGCUCAGGCACGAAAGCUGGGGGAGCAAACAGG